rnacentral:rRNA from 1 species
AGUGAACGCUGGCGGUAGGCCCAACACAUGCAAGUCGAACGGCAGCACAGUAAGAGCUUGCUCUUACGGGUGGCGAGUGGCGGACGGGUGAGGAAUACAUCGGAAUCUACUUUUUCGUGGGGGAUAACGUAGGGAAACUUAAUACAAUACAGCAUACCAUCUACGGGUGAAAGCGUGGGAUCUUCGGACCUUGCGCGAUUGAAUGAGCCGCUGUCGGAUUUGCUAGUUGGCGGGGUAAAGGCCCACCAAGGCGAGGAUCCGUAGCUGGUCUGAGAGGAGGGUCAGCCACACUGGAACGGAGACACGGUCCAUACUCCUACGGGACGCAGCAGUGUGGAAUAGUGGACAAUGGGCGCAAGCCUGAUCCAGCCAUAGCGCGUGGGUGAAGAAGGCCUUGGGGUUGUAAAGCCCGUUUGUUGGGAAAGAAAAGCAGCAGCUUGAUACCCCGCUGGUCUGACGGUACCCAAUGAAUAAGCACCGGCUAACUUCGUG